GCUAAUUAAAUUAAAUUGGUGUUUUUGAUAGCAUAUCCUCGACCAAGCGAGGUAUAUCAACCACCUCAACAAUGCUAUCCAGCAGAAAAGGCGGUGGAAAUGCAUGCUAAUGCUCCGCCACCACCUGUUGGUUAUCCCACUAUGGGAGGAGCUGAGUACCCCCGACAUGCUCCUCCUGUCCACACGCAAAGCAAAGGUGAUGACUUUUGGAAAGGAUGGUGAGUGGAGGUUAUAAUUUGGUCUCUCUUAUCUCUCUACACGUUUGUAUUAUUCAUUGUCGGGUGUGUUUCAUUUUCUUCAUUGAUUAUAUAUAGUUCCCAACACUUCGUUUCCUUGAAUCCCAUGCAGUUUUGCUGCCUUAUGUUGCUGCUGUGUGUUGGAUAUGUGCUUUUGCUAAUCAAGCCCACCCUAGAUGCAUGCCUAAAUCUUGAUAAGGCACCAAGUUUUAUUUUCUCUCUUGAUUUCCCAUCUAGGCUACAUUAAUCAUGCUUAUAAUUUCUCUACUUAAUGGAGUUAUUUUUGCACUAUUUUUGAUGUCUUAUAAGGAAUAAAAAUAUUAAGAUCUUAUGUACUCAUUCAAUCAAAUACUAUGCGAUGUUAGAUUUAACGUUAGUAAUUCAAAUAUUAAAGACAAUUUUAAUGUCUCUUUUAUUCGGUCUAGAUGUUAUUAAUUUUUCCAACUUUUCGACAUUCGUCAUUUGAUAUAUAAUGGAUAAAACGUAAGAAGCAAGAGGGAUGAAAUUUGAGUAUAUUGCAUUAGUGGAUGCAUUAAAAUCCAACUUGAAUAAUUGUGUACCACAGAAGGAAAAAUUAAGGUAAAGCUAGCUGGUCAAGAUUUACAAAACCUUGUAUUGCGAGGCAGAAUAGACUAUGCUCCACAAAACUUUGGCACAUUAAUUAACGGAUUACCUAAGAGCUAAUCAAUUAUCAUUUAACUGGUUUUGAGUCAUUAAGAUAUUAGUUUAAGAAAGCCUUCAAUUGUGGUUUAAUUAGAAAAUAUUAAAUAACAAAUUUCCUGAUCAAGAGACUUCAUCUUUGAGAAUAAUCGAAUAUUUGCAAACCAGAGAGAAGGAAGGUUCGUAUUUUUAUUCCUCAAAGAAAAGUUGAUACAAGAAUCCUAGUUAUUUGUAGAGAGCUGGUUGUAUUAGGUGUAAAAUAACAGAAAUUGGAGGGGAUAAAAUUGGGGAAGAAAAAAUCUCUGCAAGUACUGUUUGUCUGUUAUCACCUAUUUACAGCAGUAGAAUUCCACCUACCUAUUUACAGCAGUGAAAGCAAUAAGUAAAGCAAUAAAUAUAAAUACUAUAUUUAACUAAGAUAAUAAUCUUAUAUCUAAUUCUCCCCUUCGAGGUGAGUAUUAUGGAUGUUCAUAAUAUUAAUCUUGCUUAGGAAAUGCUUGAAAGGUCUCAGUUGUAGUGCUUUUGUGAAUAAAUCAGUCAAAUGCAUUUUAGUAGACACAUAACAGGAAGCUAUAAGAUCUUUUGUAACCUUUUCUCUGAUGAAAUGGUAGUUCAUUUCUAUAUGCUUUUUAGUUUGUUAAUGGAAUAUAGGAUUCCUACAUAUAUGAAGAGCUGGUUAUCACAGAACAACUUUACUGCACUAAGAUGCUUAAUAUUAAAAUCUUUCAGCAGAAAUAUCAACCACAUAACCUCACAACACGUUGCUGCCAUUGCUCGAUACAUAGCUUCAGUUGACCUUUUGCCACAACACUUUGUUUCUUUGCCUUUCAGCUUAUAAGUGACUCACCAAGCAGCACCCAUAACUCGUGACAGACCUUCUAGUAUCAAGGCAACCAACCCAAUCAUUGCUAUUGUGAGCUUGCAAAUUUAAAUCAGAUUCAAUUGAUAACAAGAUGCCCUGUCCUGGUACUCCUUUAAGAUACUUUAAAGCUCUGAAGCCUAGUUUUUGGUUAGCCUCACUAGGCUUGUCCAUGUACUGUGAAAGAACAUGGACAACAUAAGAAAUGUCAGGCCUAGUUAAUGUGAGGUACAAUAAUUUCCCUCUCAACUGUCUAUACACUGUGCUAUCAAGCAAGUGAUCCUUUUUCUCAGUCUUAGAAAUUUUAUGUUUAUAAUCAAUGGGUGUUGAGACCGGUUUUGCACCCAAGAGGCCAAAUUCUUCUAGGAUAUCUAAUGUGCAUUUUCUCUGGCAUAAUAAGAUACCACUGUCAAGCUCGAGCCACCUCCAGUCCAAGAAAGUAUUUGAGUUUUCCUAAGUCUUUCAAUUUGAAUUUGGAACUUGAGUAAUUCUUUACCUCAUUUAUAAGUUGCAUAGAGGUGCUAUCAAUCACUAUGUCAUCAACAUAAACUAUUAAUGCAGUAAAACCUCCAUUAUUUGUACUCUUAGUGAAUGAAGAGUAAUCUGCCUUCAAUUGUUGAAAACCGUAUGUCAGCAAACAACAAGUGAACUUCGUGUUUCACUAUCUUAAUGCCUGUUUAAGUACAUAGAGAGAUUUACGUAAUUUUCACACCAAGUGAACAUUAGAUGAAAAUUCUCCCUGAACUUGGUAUCUCUAUGGUAACUCCAUAAAAACAGUCUCAUUCAAGUCACCAUUCAAAAAAGCGUUGUUGAUAUCAAAUUGGGGAAGAUACCACCUUUUAAUAGUAGUUAAAGCCAAUAAACAAUCUAAUUGUUGUAUGCGUAGCUACUGGGCUAAACGUCUCUUGGUAAUCAAAACUAGCCUUUUGAUUAUAAUUGUUAGCUUCCAACCUUGCUUUAUAUCUCACUAUCAGAAUUAAGCUUAACUUUGUAGACCCAUUUGUAUCCAAUUGCAUGAGAGUUAGCAGGUAAAGGCAUAACUAUCCAAGUCCCAUUAACUCCUGGGGCAUCUAACUCACAUUGCAUAGCCUGCUUGAUGGUAAUAGGUUGGUUCUUAUAUGUGAGAUAAGGAUAAGCUGAAUGCUUUAUGGUUAGCAGGUAAAGGCAUAACUAUCUAAGUCCCAUUAGCUUCUACGUAUGGGCGAACCCAUAUUCAUGAGAGUGGUGUCAUUUGACACCACUCAAUAAAAAAAAAAUAUUUAUUUAUUAUAUUAUCUUUUUAGAGUUUUAUAUAUAUAAUAAUAUUAUGAACCCACUAAUUUUUUUGCAAUUUUGUAAGAAGUGGAAUCAAAAGGUAGAUUUUAUUAAAAAACUUAUAUAUUAAUAAUAUUUAAACAUUCUUUUUAAAAAAUAAUAUUUAAAUAUUUUCAAUAAGUAGAUUUAUCAAAAAAUAAUUUAUAUAUUAAUAUUUUAAAUUCUACAUGGAAAGGUAAAAAAAUUUCUUUUUAUAAUUUAAGAUUUGUGCUUAAUUGAAUCUAUCUGAUAUCCUAAACUUGUAUUAGGUUGAUUAAAAAGGACAAAGGCUGGUUUAUAUAACUGAGUUUGGGUUCGAGAGUAUAAUUACAUACAAAAAAAAUUAACAUCUCAUGAAGGCCAUACGAAAAAUAGUGCCAACUAAUUAUUUGUUAUUAUAUUUUAGUCUUAAAUCUUGAUUUUAUUUUUAUUUUCCUGAACCAUUAUUUAUUGUUUCAUCACUUUAUUUUUCUUUUCUUUUCCUCUCAUUUUCAUGGAAAAUUCGUACUAAAGGAGCAAAAAGAAAAUAAAGAAGCCGAACUGGAUUUUAAGAAAAUGGUAGAUUCAACAGUCAUCAAUGGCGAGGCGGAGAUUCAGAUGGCGAAAAACUUGUACGGCGCUGAUGAAGUCAAACUAACCGAACUGGCAAGCAAAAUCGAAGCUCUUAAGAGCUAGGAGUUGGAACAGAGCAACGAGAAGAAAGAAGCGAAGGAAAAGACGAAGAAAGUGAGACUAGAAAUGGAUCAACUACAUAACAAAGAAGAAGAAAUGAGAGGAGAAAUGGGAUGGGUGGUAGGAGGAGAAGGUGUUCCAAGAAUCGAUGGCGGCGAGAGCGAUUAAGCUUGAAGCCGAGGCUUGAACAAUCAACAUGAUGUGAUCACUUGGACGAGUGAAGUACAAGAGGCGAACAAGGAGGUGUCUGAGUUAGAAAGAGGACUAGAAAAGAAAAGGAUUGUUGAUUGAGAGAUUGAGAGAAAGAGAAAGGCGAGAGUGAGAAGAAAGAGAGGGAAUUGGAGAGGAGAAUAGGGGCUUUACAAGUGAGAAUCGAAGAGGAAAUGAGGGAAAAGAUGGAUGAGUUUAAGAAGCAAGUUGAGGUGGCGAAAACGAGGGGUGAAUUGAAGUUGAUUGAUUGUGGAUCUUCUAUUGUGGUUCGUUGCUGUAUUCUCUUGUUUGGACCCUGAACUUUUCUUAGGUUUUCGUCUAACCACAAUGUUGUAAAGCCCGUACAAGAGUAUCGACAAACAAAUCAAUAACAUUUCAUAUUUUUUAUUUGAUAAGGGGUUUCGAAUUUAAUUUUUUAAAUAAGUAUAUGUAUUUACCAUUAAACCAAAUAUUUUGUGUAAGAUCAUUUUAUUAUUUGAAGUUCGAAAAUCAAGUAUUUUUUAUAUUGCGAGUUAUGAUAACAACUUAUUGAAAUAUUAAAGAUUUUUUUUACUUAAUUUCAACCACUAUUUCCAUCUCAUAAAUGCUUUUUGGAUACUAAUUCUAAAAAAACAGAAAAUUAAGCAAGAAAGAUUUGUUCUUUUCUUUUUCACCACUUCUCCUUCAAGAAUUUCAUUGUAAAAUCCUUUUUGCAAGAUUUUUUGUUCAUCUAAAAGGCAUUUAUAAUUAGUCGAUUUAGUAAAAUUUUACUCAAAUAUCCAUGCAAAGGUACAAUUAAGAUGCUAUAAAAAUCUCUAGAUAAAUCUAUUGUAGGAAAAUUUUAUUCGAUUAAAACUUCAAAUUUUAUCUUAAAAAUUUUAGGUUUGAAUCUUGAGAUGAUCGAAGAAAAUAAAAUUUACGUGAUAGAAGAGAAUUGCUUCUUCUUCGAAUAGUUCAAAAUUAAUCCUUACCUAAAUUUUGUCAAAAAAAAGUUAAAAAAGAUUAAUUAUUGAUAAUUAAUGUGAUUGGAGGCCGGCAUUUGAAAAAUUUGAGAUAAAUUUGAGAGCUAGAACAAAAAAAAAAAAAGAGAUUCAAUUACAGAUCGUAGGCACCUAAUGAAGCAACGCAUGUAACUUGUUUUUACAUGGAUGGUCGUUAUUGAUUCAGUCCUGAUCAUGCAGCUCCAUCCAUUAGGUCAUUGUUGAUGAAUUUUCUUUUCUUGUUUUGACUCUCUUGUAAGCCCCGUCCAACAAGCUAGCUCUUCCAUACAAGUACCUAUCAAAUCCAGCCCCUCCUCAAUUUCCUAAUUCUUCACUCUCUUAAGCAAAUUGACUUGAACCAACACACAGUUAGAUCUCAACAACAUCCUCUUCGGCUCUAGUCAUGGCACACUACGAUCAACAACAAGCUCCUGGUAAGUUUUUCUUUGAAGAAUGAUUGAUGUAUACAUGUACUUUGCUAGCUAGCUGUAAACUGAUCAUGGUAAUCGAGAUUUUUGACAGUAAGAUUGAUUUUGUUUGUGGUUAAAAGUUUCACAGUUGCACAAUCAAACGUAGUUUCAUGUCGUAGGUAAAUUAAAGUAGUCUUUAAUGGUGAUUUGGAAUGGCUAAUUAAAUUAAAUUGGUGUUUUUGAUAGCAUAUCCUCGACCAAGCGAGGUAUAUCAACCACCUCAACAAUGCUAUCCAGCAGAAAAGGCGGUGGAAAUGCAUGCUAAUGCUCCGCCACCACCUGUUGGUUAUCCCACUAUGGGAGGAGCUGAGUACCCCCGACAUGCUCCUCCUGUCCAAACGCAAAGCAAAGGUGAUGACUUUUGGAAAGGAUGGUGAGUGGAGGUUAUAAUUUGGUCUCUCUUAUCUCUCUACACGUUUGUAUUAUUCAUUGUAGGGUGUGCUUCAUUUUCUUUCAUUGAUUAUAUAUAGGUCCC
rnacentral:lncRNA from 1 species